rnacentral:rRNA from 1 species
CUUGGUCAUUUAGNGGAAGUAAAAGUCGUAACAAGGUCUCCGUUGGUGAACCAGCGGAGGGAUCAUUACAGAGUUUUCUAAACUCCCAACCCUAUGUGAACUUACCACUGUUGCUUCGGCGGCGGAGGCCACCCUGUAGGGGAUACCACGCAGUGGUUACCCUGUAGUCUCGGGUACUGAUUCUGUCAGCUACCCGGUGGCUCUCCCCGCCGGCGGCCAACUAAACUCUGUUUUAUUUGGAACUCUGAAUCGUAAACUUAAUAAGUUAAAACUUUCAACAACGGAUCUCUUGGUUCUGGCAUCGAUGAAGAACGCAGCGAAAUGCGAUAAGUAAUGUGAAUUGCAGAAUUCAGUGAAUCAUCGAAUCUUUGAACGCACAUUGCGCCCAUUAGCAUUCUAGUGGGCAUGCCUGUUCGAGCGUCAUUUCAACACUUAAGCCCUGCUGCUUAGCGUUGGGAGCCUACGGCACGGCCCGUAGCUCCUUAAAGUGAUUGGCGGAGUUGGUUCUCACUCUAAGCGUAGUAAUUCUUUCUCGCUUCUGCAGUGGUCCCGGCCCCCGCCGUAAAACUUACCCAGUAAACAAUGGUGACCUCGGNUCA